GACGAACGCUGGCGGCGUGCUUAACACAUGCAAGUCGAAGCGGUAAGGCCCUUUCGGGGGUACACGAGCGGCGAACGGGUGAGUAACACGUGGGUGACCUGCCCUCAGCUCUGGGAUAAGCCUGGGAAACCGGGUCUAAUACUGGAUAUGACUCCAUGACGCAUGUUGUGGGGUGGAAAGCCUUGUGCGGCUGAGGAUGGGCCCGCGGCCUAUCAGCUUGUUGGUGAGGUAACGGCUCACCAAGGCUUCGACGGGUAGCUGGUCUGAGAGGACGAUCAGCCACACUGGCACUGCGACACGGGCCAGACUCCUACGGGAGGCAGCAGUAAGGAAUAUUGCGCAAUGGGCGAAAGCCUGACGCAGCGACGCCGCGUGGGGGAUGAAGGUC
rnacentral:rRNA from 1 species